rnacentral:rRNA from 1 species
GACGAACGCUGGCGGCGUGCCUAAUACAUGCAAGUAGAACGCUGAAGGAGGAGCUUGCUUCUCUGGAUGAGUUGCGAACGGGUGAGUAACGCGUAGGUAACCUGCCUGGUAGCGGGGGAUAACUAUUGGAAACGAUAGCUAAUACCGCAUAAGAGUAGAUGUUGCAUGACAUUUGCUUAAAAGGUGCAAUUGCAUCACUACCAGAUGGACCUGCGUUGUAUUAGCUAGUUGGUGGGGUAACGGCUCACCAAGGCGACGAUACAUAGCCGACCUGAGAGGGGGAUCGGCCACACUGGGACUGAGACACGGCCCAGACUCCUACGGGAGGCAGCAGUAGGGAAUCUUCGGGAAUGGACGGAAGGCUGACCGAGCAACGCCGCGUGAGUGAAGAAGGGUUUCGGAUCGGAAAGCUCGGUUGUAAGAGAAGAACGAGUGUGAGAGUGGAAAGUUCACACUGUGACGGUAUCUUACCAGAAAGGGACGGCUAACUACGUG